CAGUAGCCGCGGUAAUACGUAGGGUGCGAGCGUUAAUCGGAAUUACUGGGCGUAAGGCGUGCGCAGGCGGUUAUAUAAGACAGAUGUGAAAUCCCCGAGCUCAACCUGGGACCUGCAUUUGUGACUGUAUAGCUAGAGUACGGUAGAGGGGGAUGGAAUUCCGCGUGUAGCAGUGAAAUGCGUAGAUAUGCGGAGGAACACCGAUGGCGAAGGCAAUCCCCUGGACCUGUACUGACGCCCAUGCACGAAAGCGUGGGGAGCAAACAGGAUUAGAUACCCGCGUAGUCCCUGUCUCUUAUAC
rnacentral:rRNA from 1 species